rnacentral:rRNA from 1 species
UACGUAGGGUGCAAGCGUUAAUCGGAAUUACUGGGCGUAAAGCGUGCGCAGGCGGUUAUGUAAGACCGAUGUGAAAUCCCCCGGGCUUAACCUGGGAACUGCAUUGGUGACUGGCAGGCUUUGAGUGUGGCAGAGGGAGGUAGAAUUCCACGUGUAGCAGUGAAAUGCGUAGAGAUGUGGAGGAAUACCGAUGGCGAAGGCAGCCUCCUGGGCCAACACUGACGCUCAUGCACGAAAGCGUGGGGAGCAAACAGG